CAUUCAGGGAGGAAAUAGCUUUAAAAUAUGUCAAAGCCUAAAACAGAAUAUAAUCAUGGAAUAAAUUGGAGACCCCAGACAGUCCCCACAAAAUUUCCUUCAGGCUGUAAAUAGAUCUCUUAAAACUCACCCCAAAACAUGCCGGCUCAGUUGUUUGACGCUUGCAUAACUAACAUCUUAGGCAAAAGCCUCUGAACUUAGCUGAAAUGCAGAAAACAGACAAGUGCAAUGACAUGUUUAGGGGUAACUGUGUUGAAGCCGUGAGAUGUGUGUGAGGAGUGUGUGUGUGUGCACGUGUGACAGACACACACGCGCAUACAUGUAUAUGAAGGCCGCUGUUGUUUUCCAUGCUUCAUGGAGAGUGCAGCAGUGAGAGUCUGUGAUUUUCUAACACUUUCUGCAGUGAAUCCAAAGAUCACAGGCCCCACGAGGCACCUGCAUCCUGUGGCUUUUCUAUAACUUCCUGAAUUAUUUGACUAUGUUCAAACCUUCUUUUCUUUUUCAUCAGGAUUUCAUUUUUUUAAGUUUGUCAAGUGUUUUUGCCUUUAAAAAGACAUUAAAUGUGCCCUUUUCCACAUUAUUUUCUCAUCUCUGCAACAAGAAAUGGUAGUGUAUAGACAAAUGCUAAAAUAAUAACAAUAAUAAGGAAAUGUAUUAAAGGUUUAAACCUACACACGCAUACACAUAUGUAGUUCUACCGAGCAAUAAAAGUAGUAUCUAUUUUGAACGUGCAUUAAGCACCAAAAAAAAAAAAAUCAAAGCUGAACUUUCGGUUUAUUUUGUUCCCUCUGUGAGAUGUUAAAAUGCUAAUUUCAUUUUCUCCCUUCUUCUAUGUGGCAUUUUUCUCAAAAUAUCUAUGAAAUACUUUUAGACAAAGAUUGAGCUGGAGAAAGAGAUACAAAUUUCCAUCCCCCCAGACAUAGAGAUGUGCUUCCAUUGUAGGAAAGCAUUAAACAUUUUGAAACUUGUGAAUCAUCUUUAGAAUUUCAACAGCGGAAUUUUACCUCUUCAUCCAAAGUAAAAGCCACUUAUCUCCUUUGGUUUCCUGUGACAGAUUCAGAGGCAGACGCAGAUAUACAAUUUCCAGGCUCUAGUUAAUCUUCUUCCAAUAGUUACGAACAAUGGGCUAACGGGCGUGGGUGUUUCUCCAAAAAUUAUUCAUGCGCAAGGCAGCCCAAAGCUUCAGGGAAAACUAGAAAUGUUUUAUGGAUUAGAAUAGGCCUGUUUUAAAAUGCUAGUACCAGGUGGAACGCUAUUUCUGCAACAGGACUCUGUCCAUUUCCUUUGGAAAAAUAUAUUCCAAGUAAAAUGGCUAUUCCAAGGAGUGACACCCUGGCUUGACAGCGUUUGGCACACAAAUGAUCUUACCAAUAGCCAUACAAUUAUCAUUAAGGCCUUUUACCAUACAGUCUGUUUAGAAAAGACAGAUCAAAUGCUAACAGCCCGUUGUAUCAUGUUUAUUUGCUUAAAACAGCUUUUGAAAGUACGAGUAAUAACUCUUUCGUGAGAACCCCCCAGGAGAAGUUGGAAAUUUUGAAGAAAUGCAUUGCUUAAAAAAAAAAAAAAUCUAAGCACUCCCUUCAACCCUUUCAGAAAAUAAAUUUAAGUGUGCUCGCUGAAUUAUCUUGAACCUGAACCCUACACUUGGACAUCAGUCCCCAGGCAAUGGCUAAUAUUUACAGAAAGAACAAUCAUGCGAUUAUGUCGCAAGUGAAGACUGUGCCUGGUUAUAUUUUCACUUUCUAAAUGACUCAUAUAACAUUCAGAGAUUAUAAAUGUGUAUGCAUUUUUUAAGUACACAAAAUCCCACCAGUCUGCAAAGAAAAAGUAAAACCUACACCUGUUCUGCAUUGAGAUAAAUACUACAGAAACAUUCCAGUCCUGCAAUACAAUAUUUUGGCUUCACAACACGUCAGAUAUUAAAAGCAUGCAACACAAGUCAAAAACAAUGACCAAAAAAAAAAAUUGUAUUUGGAUCAGAGUUUUGAAAGGUCAUAACAUCCUGGGUUACAAUAUACUUUUUGGUCUCUGACGCUAUCCUUCUAAUCCCUUCUAACUUUGAUUCCAAACAGCCAAGCACUGUCAGGGAGUCAUAAACUUCCAAGCCCCUUUUAAAUCAGGAACACAGCCAAUCAGAAACAAUCUUUAUCUGGGCAGCCAGUUCCUGCUCUGCAAGGCUUUUGUAACAUUUUAGGAAAUCUGGCAUCAAACCCAUUACAUUAUAUAUUUGCCCCCUUGCAUGAAGUCUAGAUUUUGAGUUGUUUCUUUUCAAAAGGGUAGUGGAGAAAAUGGGUCAGAGUGAGCUUCAAGAAUCACAUUCAUCCUUGCUCUGAAGGAAAGUGUUUACUUGCCAGAGAAGAAAGGCAAACACAUUUUUGUAUUAGGAAAGCAGACCAGUCGUUUUCAAAGGAAAAUGGCUGCGACCAUACUUGUACAAUGAACAUGUCCGUGCAAGCGCACUAAUUUUCUACCACCUGCAUGCUGUAUAUAAUACACGCCUGUAUACUAGGAAGGAAAAUCGGGCUGUUUUCCCUGUGUACCAUGCAGCUUGGAUGGCUGGGAAAGUAAGCCUGCGUGCAUUUUUAUACUGUACAUAUUUGUAUAUACUAACGAUAUCGCCAUGUAUGAACACAGAUUUUGUUCUAUCUGCUUGUUUCUGUUUCUUACCAAACUGGUCCACAAUGGGAUUCUUUUGUAUCGAAAAAAUAUGCUUGUGAUUUUUUUUUCCUGAUCAUUCUCUUUCGAUAGCUUAUGAAAGAAUUAGAUCUGCGUUUACAAAGAAAUGAUAAGAACCAUGUAUGUCCGUCUGCAUGAGUCCUGUCCAAUUGCUGGAUCUAGGGAGGAACCAACGUCCUAAUUCAGAGUUUUCCUUUCAAGGCAUGCUUUACCCCGUGGGAAAACUGCAAACUCAUCCAUGUAGAAUUUUCCUCUUUGUAUUUUAUCUAAUAGUGCCUGAAAAUUUUUUUAAUGUCUUCUUAGAGGAAGAAUUCAUAAUUGUCAAAAUUUGAAACAUUAGCUUAAUUUUGUUUUUAUGACCUCGAGAUUCUUCUCCUUAUUUAUUCGGUUGCUGUUGUAAUGGGGCCCCAGGCCAUUCCUGACAUCGAUGUGUUCUUCUUCUGCAUUAAGGAUGUUUUUAAAAUUACAGAGAUUAUUGAGCCAAUAGGCUGUUUUAAUCAAAACCAUGUUUCACUUGUUUUUGAUGAUUAUAAAUUGUCCUUGCAAUGAGAAAGAAAAAAAAAAAAAAAACUUUUCUGCUAGGAAGAUUAUACCACCCUGUGGCCAAACAGAUUCAUCACAGAUGGGUGUCUAUGCCCACUUCUCCGGGAUCUGGAACAUUCUUCCCCUGGCUGGCCACAGUUUCUUGCACUCCCCAUCAUCCUGUCAUUAGUUCUCAACGCAGUCACUGUUUGCAAAUUUCCAAAGGCCUUUUGCCAUCUUGUCACUGCCCAAAGACAACAACCCUGCUGGAAGUGGUGUCUUUCCAACCUCAAAGAACGCAGGGAGUUUUAGAAAAGGGGAUCCUUCUUUCAUCCCAGAGUGCCUCCAGCUUGUCAUCCCUCCUAAUUAGAUACAAUUUGGUCUUAAUAUCCCAUAUAACCUCAAUCAGAUCAAAAGCAACACUGGGACCCCCGCCCCUUGCUGAAUAAAAAACGAGUCUGAGAGCACUUAACGGUGUGAGCUUGUGCGAGAUACUGCAGCCCCAGAAUCGUCUGUAGCAGGAGAGGGAUUCUCAUACAGUUUUAUCACUAGGAAUAAAUUCUGAUGGUGGAGAUGGAGAAAACCCUUAAAUUAUAUCACAAAAGCCAUUAUUUUUUACACCUAAAGAGUUUUUUUUUUUAAGGAAAAUCAUUCUACUUUGAGAACUGUAAUUAAAGCCCUAAAUAAUAGAUGCUACUUCUUUUAGCUAUUGUGAAAAAAUAACAAUACACUCUCCAAGGUUGUAUGGACCCCCUCAUUUCCAUCAGAAAGGUUUCUAUAUUAUAUUUUUAAACAUGAUAACUCUUUCCUUUGUGGUGAAAAAAAAAAGUGUUGUUGUGUUUUUGUUUUGGUUUUGUUUUUGUUUUUGUUUUUUUUUCCAUUCAGCAGUUAUUGGAAAUAGACUGUUCCCAUCUGAAACCUUAUUAUAAUUUGCACCAGGAAACCCAACUGCCGACACUGAGGAGCUGGGUGUGUUCAAUUAUGACUUUGCUGGAGGCUGUCCCUCGUUGGAUGCUGCAGAUGUUGAACACCUUUCUGAAACCCAGCGGAUCUGACACCGCUGAGACGCCCCUCCACACCAUUAGCUUGGCGAACGGCUUCCUUCCCAUCAAUAGCGACUUCCGCUUUGGCCCUUCGAAGAAAAGGAAAAUUAAAGGAGAGAAGGAAAAAACAAAAAAACAAAACAGAUGCACUUAAAACAUGAAAAGAAUUAUUUAUAUGAUAAAAAUAUAUUUAGAUUUUCAAAGCACAAGACUGAAUAGAAGUGCUCUUUUUAAGCUUUCUGGAGAUGUUACUGUUAAAUGUCUUUCUACAUCAGGCUUAAUAAAUCUGUAAUGAC
rnacentral:lncRNA from 1 species